UGGUGAGGUAAUGGCUCACCAAGGCUUACGUUAGCUGGUCUGAGAGGAUGGUCAGCCACACUGGGACUGAGACACUGCCCAGACUCCUACGGGAGGCUGCAGUCGAGACUCAUUGUCAAUGCACGAAAGUGUGAACAUGCGACGCCGCGUGGAGGAAGACGGCCUUCGGGUUGUAAACUCCUGUCAGCAGGGAGUAAGGGUAGCAUUGCUAAUAGUAAUGUUAUUUGAUAGUACCUGCAGAGGAAGUCACGGCUAACUCUGUGCCAGCAGCCGCGGUAAUACAGAGGUGGCGAACGUUGUUCGGAUUUACUGGGCGUAAAGGGUCCGCAGGCGGUCCGGUGUGUCAGAUGUGAAAGCCCACAGCUUAACUGUGGAAUUGCAUUUGAAACUGCCGGACUAGAGUACUGGAGGGGAGAAGGGAACACUUGGUGUAGCGGUGAAAUGCGUAGAUAUCAAGUGGAACACCGGCGGCGAAGGCGCUUCUCUGGACAGAUACUGACGCUCAUGGACGAAAGUUAGGGUAGCGAAAGGGAUUAGAUACCCCUGUAGUCCUAACCGUAAACGGUGUGCACUAGACGUGGGUGGAUUUACCCCCAUCCGUGUCUGAGCUAACGCAUUAAGUGCACCGCCUGGGGAGUACGGUCGCAAGAUUAAAACUCAAAGGAAUUGACGGGGACCCGCACAAGCGGUGGAGCAUGUGGCUUAAUUCGAUGCAACGCGAAGAACCUUACCUGGACUUGACAUAUAGCUGCAUACGACCUGAAAGGGACGUAGCCUUCGAGGGUGCUAUACAGGUGCUGCAUGGCUGUCGUCAGCUCGUGCCGUGAGGUGUUGGGUUAAGUCCCGCAACGAGCGCAACCCCUGUGUUUAGUUGCCAGCACGUAAUGGUGGGAACUCUAAACAGACUGCUUGUGAAACCAAGAGGAAGGUGGGGAUGACGUCAAGUCAGUAUGGUCCUUAUGUCCAGGGCUGCACACGUGCUACAAUGGGUGAUACAAUAGGAAGCCAAGCCGCGAGGUGGAGCAAAUCCUCAAAAUCACCCCCAGUUCGGAUUGGAGUCUGAAACUCGACUCCAUGAAGUUGGAAUCGCUAGUAAAGGCGUAUCAGCUACGACGCCUUGAAUACGUUCCCGGGUCUUGUACACACCGCCCGUCACAUCAUGGAAGUCAGUUGCACCCGAAGUCGCUGAUCCAACCUGUCAAAGGAGGAAGGCGCCGAAGGUGUGAUUGAUGACUGGGAUGAAGUC
rnacentral:rRNA from 1 species